rnacentral:rRNA from 1 species
AGUAGCGGCGAGUGAAGCGGCCAAAGCUCAAAUUUGAAAUCCUCCGGGAACAGUAAUUUGUAGACUUGUUCUAGGUGACUGACUAAAGUUUGCUGGAAUGCAACGCCUUAGAGGGUGACAGCCCCGUUAAGUCUUAACCGAUUGUAGAGCAAUGUCAAAGAGUCGAGUUGUUUGGGAAUGCAGCUCAAAGUGGGUGGUAAACUCCAUCUAAAGCUAAAUAUUGGCGAGAGACCGAUAGCGAACAAGUACAGUGAUGGAAAGAUGAAAAGAACUUUGAAAAGAGAGUGAAAUAGUACGUGAAAUUGUUGAAAGGGAAGGAUUUAGUGGUAGACUUGGCUUUACGGAACAGUUGUCUCUCGGGAUUGCGUACUCCGUCUUUUGCCGGGUGAAGCCAUGUGAUGAGGGGUUAAGAAACCUCUAGGAAUGUGGCACCAACUUGUUGGUGUGUUAUAGCCUAGAGAAAUUGACCCAUUCGCUACAUUGGCUUCACGUAAUACUACUAAAUCACCCGUCUUGAAACACGGACCAAGGAGUCUACCAGACUGGCAAGUAUUUGGGCGUAAACCCCUUAUGCGAAAUGAAAGUGAAUGUGAGAUCCUUUUUGGAGCAUCACACGCGGGCGGUCAACCUAUUUGAUACGCUCAGUGGAGCCCGUCUGGUGGGACCCGAAAGAUGGUGAACUAUGCCUGAGUAGGGUGAAGCCAGAGGAAACUCUGGUGGAGGCUCGUAGCGGUUCUGACGUGCAAAUCGAUCGUCGAACUUGGGUAUAGGGGCGAA